GGGGAGGGGCCGGGGCAGACCGUCUGUUGGAGGGGGCGGGACCAGGACCGGAGGCGGGGAGGGGUCCCAGCUCUAGGCCUGAGAGGGGAACGGAGCCGGGACCAGGAAACCGUGAAGGGGAGGAGCCAGACGUGAGGCCCUCGGGUCUGGAAGGAACAAGGAGAAUCGGCUUGUAGUGGCCCCAGCAAGGGGAGGAGGAGGAGGAGGAGGAGGAGGAGGAGGAGCCUCCCCAAGCCGCCAGGGGUCGCUGCCGAGCCGCAGCAAAUCCACUGGUCCUCACGUCUUGUCCAUUCAUCUCUGAAACUUACCCUGAAUCUGGCAGCAUGAUCCCCCUCUGUCAUCAUCACCCUGCUCCAAGCCUCACGUGGCCAUGACCACAUCCUCUCCACUGGCCUCCCUGCCUCCAGUCCUGCCCUAGCCCUCCUCCACAAAAGCUCUCCAUCACUUGCAAAAUAAAGGCCAAAUCCCUAAGUC